rnacentral:lncRNA from 10 species
CCCACUGGACAGAAAAAGAAGGUGUUGUCCUAAGGCUGCUGGCUGCCAUCUGCUGACCAUGCGGAAACCAGCUUGAGGCAAAGACAGUGCCUAGGACGGCAUGGCCAAAGAGAUACAGACGACCCUGGUGACAUCUCCAAGCCCCAUCUCUGGACAUCCUGCUGUGAGAAAUGGCAUGCCCCCAACUGGACAUUCUCCAUACAACCCCACCAACUAAGAACUACUGUGCUGAACUACAUUAAAGUGCUGAUAUGACCAUUUUUGACCAGUGUCCCAUGGU